rnacentral:rRNA from 1 species
GAUGAACGCUGGCGGCGUGCCUAAUACAUGCAAGUCGAGCGAACAGACGAGGAACUUGCUCCUCUGACGUUAGCGGCGGACGGGUGAGUAACACGUGGAUAACCUACCUAUAAGACUGGGAUAACUUCGGGAAACCGGAGCUAAUACCGGAUAAUCUAUUGAACCGCAUGGUUCAAUAGUGAAAGACGGUUUUGCUGUCACUUAUAGAUGGAUCCGCGCCGCAUUAGCUAGUUGGUAAGGUAACGGCUUACCAAGGCAACGAUGCGUAGCCGACCUGAGAGGGUGAUCAGCCACACUGGAACUGAGACACGGUCCAGACUCCUACGGGAGGCAGCAGUAGGGAAUCUUCCGCAAUGGGCGAAAGCUUGACGGAGCAACGCCGCGUGAGUGAUGAAGGUCUUCGGAUCGUAAAACUCUGUUAUUAGGGAAGAACAAAUGUGUAAGUAACUAUGCACGUCUUGACGGUACCUAAUCAGAAAGCCACGGCUAACUACGUG